UAUAGCCUGAAAGAAUUUCAGGGGAGCAGUAUGGAAUCCACUCAGAUGUCUGGAGCUUAGGAAUCUCUUUCAUGGAGCUUGCUCUUGGGAGGUUUCCAUAUCCUCAGAUUCAGAAAAACCAGGGAUCUUUAAUGCCUCUCCAGCUUCUGCAGUGCAUUGUUGAUGAGGUGAGGCAUCGUCUUAUGUGCUUUCACUCCUAAAGUCAUUCCUAAUGGUGUGGAAAGCUUAUAUUUUGUUUCCUAAUGAAGCACAGUGCCCAACAUCCUCGGAGCAAGUUGUGCUGUAUGCUCGGAGCUGUGUUACAUGAACUGGCCUCGUCCUGAUCCUGUUCUCCCAAUUCUGGCCAAGAAUCCCCACAAAGACAGACUGUCCCACGGUCUGGUUCUCAGGGGUGUCAGAGACACUAAACACAAAACCCAGUAAUAUUAAUUGAUCCUGUCCUUGGCCAGAUGGGGACAGAGCUGGAAAUUAACAUGUUUUCAUUUUUUCCAUAAUAAAUACUUAAAGUCAUUCAGUAGACAAGGGUCAGAAUUGAAUAGCAAGCAUAAGCUGGGUGAAAUUUGCUCUUCUUGCUUUACUUACUCAAAGCACAUCAAGGUGGAAGAAGGGUUGAAAAGCUCUAGAUCAAGAGUUCACCUUUAAUGUCCUAAUGCCCUAACUUCUUGAGUAUUCUAGUAACUAGUUUUCUCACAUUUUAAGUUAUUUUGCCUCUACUGUCCUAUCUAUUCGCAUUUCUUCCUCAACUUUCUACUUCUUUUUUACAAUUUUAGUACAUUAGUAGUCUUACUGUACACAAGUCUCUCAAUUAAGAAACAUUAAAAAAAAAAAAAACCUGAACUUUUCUGGGCUUGGGUUUGCCUACUAGCAGUGUUUACUUUUGAACCUUAAUUUUUUAAUAUUUAGAACACUUGUAAAUAGGGAAUGUGAUAUAUGAUUCAGAUAGAAAAGUUUGAAAGAAGAAAACAUAAUUCGUAGUUACUCUCAAUUAAACAUCUGCAUAAGCAGUUAUGAGAUUUGGGAGAAAAAGUAAAGAUCCUCCUAGGAAAAAAGCAAACAUGCACACAUGCCACAUAGUAAGAAGAGUGGGGCUCUCACAUCCUUAAUGAUCGUAUCAGUCAGUCCAUAUAUCCCCUGCAAGCUAUAAACCAUGUUGAUAUGAAAAUGAAGCCAUUGUCCUGAAACAAAUGGAGACUCCAUUAUCUCAAAUAUCAGACAGACCUCCUGAAUCUAAUAGCUCAUCAGUAUCUUCUGUCAUCUUAGAUGCCAAAAGCAUUGUAGCCCGUCAGAAUCUUCCUAAUUAAACUGAUUUUCCUGAGGUUCCCUCCACUAUUGCUUGGGGGAAGUGCCCAGAGAAACUUGACCUACCCACACAUAGCUUGUUGCAUUUCCUGGACUCUGCUGUUGACUUGCUGGGAUCCUGGGCAUCAGAACAUUUAGGUAUAUAUAUUCCUCACAAAUAGUUAAUAUGUUUCUGGAGAGGUAAUUGGAAGGUUUUCUGGACCAAAUAGAUGUUUUCAUUCCAUAUGUAAAGUAGCACUGGUUGUUAUAAGUUUAAAAUACUCUGUUUAAUUUAGACAAAAUCAUCAUGAGACUUUUGAGAUUCUCCUAGGUUCAUAGUGAAAGACAAUAGUGUGUUGCUUAAAUGGCAUCUUUUUCUUUAUACCAUUUCUUCCUUAGUCAAGAGGAAAAUAUAACUUAGUAUCUCCAUUUACUCCAAAACAAGAUUAAAAUAUCUUCCUAUGGAAACUUGGGAAAUAGGCUUUUUUUUCUAAAACUAAGUUGAUCUUGGAACUGGGCUGAAAUUCUGCAAUAAGAUCAUUAGACAAGGUUGGACCAGAUGACCUGCCUUAGCCAGGGUGCAUCAAAGUAUCAAAGAUGCACCCUGUAUUUAUUGUGUCUGUACCAUGUGAUGCAGUGGCAGUGUCUUCAUAGAGGGAUCCAAGGACUAACUGCAUCAAAAUUAUCUAAGACUUUUGUUUAAAAUGCAGAAUGCCAGCUGGGUGUGAUGGUGCACACCUGUAAUCCCAGUACUUGGAA